AAGGAUCAUUAUCGAGUUUUGAACGGGUUGUCUGCUGGCUCGCAAGGGCAUGUGCACGCCUGUCUCAUCCACUCUCAACUUCUGUGCACUUUUCAUAGGCCGGCUUGUGGGUGCGUUCGCGCACUUGUAGGUGUCGGGCUUAUGCUUUACUACAAACGAUUCAGUUUUAGAAUGUCAUACUUUGCUAUAACGCAAUUUAUAUACAACUUUCAGCAACGGAUCUCUUGGCUCUCGCAUCGAUGAAGAACGCAGCGAAAUGCGAUAAGUAAUGUGAAUUGCAGAAUUCAGUGAAUCAUCGAAUCUUUGAACGCACCUUGCGCUCCUUGGUAUUCCGAGGAGCAUGCCUGUUUGAGUCUCAUGGAAUUCUCAACCUUCGGCUUCAUUGACGAAGGCUUGGACUUGGAGGUCGUGCCGGCUCUCGUAGUCGGCUCCUCUGAAAUGCAUUAGUGCGAACGUUACCAGCCGCUUCAGCGUGAUAAUUAUCUGCGUUGCUGCGGAGGGUAUUCUAGUGUUCACGCUUCUAACCGUCUUCGGACAAAUUUCUGAACUCUGAGCUCAAAUCAGGUAGGACUACCCGCUGAACUUAAG
rnacentral:rRNA from 1 species